UAUAAAUCUGUAAGGGUUGUUUAAGACGAAGACGUAGAUAGGUCUGGUGUGUAAGUGUAGUGAUACAUUGAGCUAACAGAUACUAAUUGCCCGAGAGGCUUAACUAUACAACGCUCAAG
rnacentral:rRNA from 1 species